CCCUCAGCCCCAUCGCUCCCCUCAGCCCCAUCGCUGCCCUCAGCCCCAUCGCUCCCCUCGGCCCCUCGCUGCCCUCAGCCCCGCGGCCGCCUCGCCGCCUCCCUCGUUGCUCUCCCCCAUCCGUUAGGCUCCAGCUCUGGGAAUCCUGUCGUUUCCUCCUGUGGUGGCGGGUUUGGGGGGCGUCUGGCACAUUCCGGGUGUUGGGGGCUGCAGGGGCUCGGCUCUCCCGGGCCCAGGAGACCGGUGAAGCCCUCAGUUUGUUGGGUAGCGAAGGCAGGUAGCUCAGGAAGCAGAGUUCACGCUUGUCUCAAGCAGCCACCUGCCGCCCUGGGGACCUGCAGCAGUGGCCCAGGAGGUUGUGACACAAGAAACACAUGGAGAAUCAUAUUAUUACAACCACAGAUCAAUUCAGGUAUUUUGGCAGGCAAAAAGAAGAAAUCUGAAGCUGGAAUAGAAGAAAGAGCUAAAAAUUAACGGACCACUGACUUUGAAGUUUGAAGCUCAAGUGACAUUGAGGAGAAACUGUGCAAUUAUCCAGCUGCGCUGACACCAUUAGGGAGCUUGUUCUGGAUCACAGUGGGUCAAAAAGGAGAAGAAGAAUGAAUUAAAGCAUCACCAGUUGGUUCAACAAUUCCGUUCACUUCUGCUGACAAGAAAGGAUGUUGGCUGAUGACAUGGAGAUCUAUAACUCACUUGGAAGGGAGCUGCUAAACACAAUGGCUCACAAAUCUUCAUCUAGGGCAGCAAUACUUACAAGUACUGUGGCAUAGAUGUGUGAGAAUGAUUUCAUUAUUGAAACCAUUGCUAAGGGAAGGAAUUGAGGAGGUGAAAAUGGGCAGAUACUGAUUCUGCACCAGAAGCUCCUAGAACAUAAAAAAUCUAUAGAUGCUAGCUGAGAAUUUUGCAAGUGUGUCUGAAUGCCAAAUCAACUGAGCAGCUCCCUGGCUCUUGCACAUGCAAAACAUUUGAAUUUCCUGUUGGCUCAGAGAUAUUAACUGACUGAAAAUCAAUAUUUGAAGGAAAGAGAACAGCUGGGAACCUGGAGUUCAGCAUAGGCAUUUUGCAUAAUAGGGAAUUCUUGUUUUCUAAGAAGCUAAGACAAGAAAAAUUAUUGUCUGGACACUUUGCCUCCAGAUUUAAUUUUUUUUUAAUAGAAAAUGGUGAAUUCUUUUUUGGAGAACUGUCAAACAAAAAAGUGGAUGUCAUAGCUGCAUCCUGUAAAUGUCUCUUUAGUUUCACCAAUGGUAAAACCUGUUUUGACCUAGUAAAAGACAAUAGCCCAAAUGGCCUGUUUAAUAUACCAGAGAAAGCACAGUGUCUCCAAAGGGCCUGGGAUAAGUGAGCACCCAGAAUCCCAGAAAGCCAAGACAUUUGAAGGCAGUCAGACUUGAUUUAAUUAUUUUUUACUACAAGUCUCAUUUCAGAGAAUGAUUAACGGGAGAAGAGACAUAAAUGGCAAAGUCUUGAUCAAAGAAGCUGCUGUCAGGGUACCAUCUAGAUAAAUUAGGAAAAGAAUGCUCAGGUUUCUGUGAAAGAAGACUAAUGACAUCAAGUCAAGAUGAAAUAGAAAGGAGCAGCAUUGCAGGCUGGAAAUCAUAAAAGACUAGCAUGCCCUGACAAGAAGCCCUGAGAAAUUUCCCGAACUGGAAAGUAAUUGGAAUUGGAAAGGAAUUACUUUCUGUAAGUGCUGGGUCUUGAAGUUACGCAGGACUGAAGAUGACCCAGGCACCAAAGUUGCUUUUUGGAGCCUGUCAAGAUGAGUGAAGAAAUCUUCUGGAAGCAUCUGAAGCAGCAGCUGUUAGUAUCAGCUCUACACACUGCAGGUGUUCUGUAUCUUAUGUGCUCACUCUACUCAACCAGGAUCAGUCCCUUCACUUAAAAGCUCAAACGGUCCCACCUGGAGGCAAGCAGACAGUGGAUAAAAGGAGACUGUGAAACUAACAGUCAGUAAGCAUUUGUAUAAUUUAGAUAACUUGUUUGCAGGAAUGGCAGUCUCCUGGAGAGAGCAGUGGCCCUAGCUGAAAUCAAGAGAAAGCUUUACAAGUGAUGUGAAUGUACUUGUGCGAAGAGAGACAUCUUAGCAGAGUUCUUGAACAGGAGAUAAUCUGACACAAGGUGUAUUUACAGCAUAGCACUACUGGUCUUCUGAUGAAAUUUUCAAAAUUUGGGAUGAGUGGCAAAUUCUUCAGUGAAUCCAAGGGAACCAGAUUAUGGAUGGUCAGCUUAGCAAGAGAAACCAAGGUACCAGUGAGGAAGAGGUGAUUUCAGAGCUAACUAAGAGUUAACUGGCUAUGUUUCAACUGUCACCAUUGUCUUAAAUCUACAUAGAGAGUGGAGAGAGCCAGAGAGGUAUAAGUACAGCAGGACACUGGGAAAAAAAAUGUUUCAGAGAAAAAUGAAACCCCUUCCUGGACCUUGGAUGAGCGUGAGGAAAAGACCCAAUUUCUGAAGCCUCUAGAGAGGAGCAGGGCCUCAACAGAGGGAGAAGGAGGUACUUGAGAAAUGCAAGCUCAAGGCAGGCUGUGAGGAACAUCUACACUUAGAGAAGUCUUUCUGGAAAGCCAAUGGAAAUUAUUUGCUCAAAUAUUAGUGAUUUGUGAGAUAAUCUAUUAUAGAUUAAUCAUUUCAGUCUUAUGGUGCAAUGUCAAAAAUAAAUUUGGGUUAUGAAGCUGGAGGGGAGCCACUUGGGGGUCGUGUGUUCUCACUGAUGCUCCUUAUUUGACUUUGAAAACAGCCUCAUGACGAGAUUUUUGAAGCUGAUUGUUACCCCAUGGAAUCCAAAUCACAAGCUCCUCCAGCAAUCAGUGGAACUAUUAAUUAACCUGAGGUCAGUCCCUGGCCCAUUGCAAGCAUGGCAGGAUCCAUGAAAGAGGGCAGAUACAGAGGAAGAUACGGGCUCACAUUCCAGCAAAGAUGUCCACAGAAGGAUGUGCUUCCCUCUAAGGAGCUAUCAGGUCCCAGUGACACUGCUGCCUUCUAACAUGGAUGUUCUUCAACCUGCACCACUCAUCCAUAGGACAGAGCUUCUUUUAUACCAUCUUCCCAACACAGGACUGAGGUUCCUGUGGAAAUACUGUCUGUCAGUGUUCCUACCUGUGCCUGUGGUGGGUGCUGAAUCUCAGGAGAACAGAGAUCGAGCACAUCCGUGAAAAGGGUGGCUGGUUGGGAUUGCAUCUGUGAAGCAGCACAGUCACCAAGGAGCAGGUUGGAGAAGAAGCAGCACUUCUGUACCCAAGGCAUGAGACAGGGGGGCCCUCAGGAGCCAGGCACCCGCUGUGGUUGGUGGGAUACAAACAAAUCCCAUGGAGAAUGAAGAUGCUCCCAUGAAGCAUAAAAUAUCUCUCCAGAUUUCAAGUCAACCAGGAAUGAUAGAAGCUUGUUCAGGGACUCCAGGCAGUGGCUGGUGGGUUCUGCAAGGCCUAGGGGCAGGAGCAUUGUGGCUUCCCCAGAAUAUCACAAGCAUGUAGUUGCCAGCAAACCCCAGGUGCACACAGAAUCAAUCUGGAGCUGAAAACAUCCCCGUAGGAAGCGUACACAUCCCUGCUUAUACAGGAACAGAAACAGCAAUAACUUCAGGUCCUGUAAGCUGCAAGUUCAACUUACAGAGAUGAGCCCUGACUUGUCAUCGCUCUCAGCGUGCUGGUGAUGAGAUCAGAGCACUCCACCAAGGACUCAUACUUCCAGCUUGACAAGGGACAGAGGUGAGCGUGCUACACCUCACUGAUACUCGCCUCUCCAACUGCAGAAAGGAAUCGAGAGCUCCUCUCUGUAACAUGCAGUCACAGCACUGCCAAUCUAAAAUGGCUGAUCAGUAAUACUUUAAUUGCAGUUUCAUAGAAACAAAUUGCUAUUUAAUUGCAGUAAGCUUGUGUGUGGCUUAGCUGGACUGACAACACGCACACACCUGGUAGUAACCGUAGCAAGCAGCAAGGAGGGUUAUCUGGUACUCCACGUACAGAAGUCUCAGGCAGUGCCAUCAAACCCAAAACACAAGUUCACACUGAUUAAAUGUAACACCUGAAAAAAUGUAUACAUUUCCUAAUCUCAAUUUGAUUUUAUAUUUUAAUAGAGCUGUUCAGAAUAGAUACUUGCAAAAAGCUGCACUCUUCACAUACACCUAUCAGCAAAAUCCUUUGAUUAAAGGUUUAAAUUGAAACGAUAUUUUGAAAUCACAGAAUCAGGCUGGAAAAGACCUCUGAGAUCAUAGAGUUAAACUGAACACCACCGUGUCAACCAGACUGCAGCACUCAGUGCCAUGUCCAGUCUUUCCUUAAACACCUCCAGGAGCAGUGACUCCACUGCCUUGCUAACAAGGCAUACUCUGCCACUGUGUGAGUUUUGGGGUUUUUUAGUAUUUACCCUAAUGUUAUGUGAUGCAAAUUUUAUUGGUGUUAACUAACAGGGAAAAAGGAAGACAAACUCAGUGCGGUUAAUAUUCUGAACAUGUGACUUAAUUUCAUAGGCUUCAUUUUGUUAAGACAUUCUCAUUUUAUAUUUCAUAAGAUACUGCAUAACCUGUUAAAAUAUUUAAAGAUAAAUCAUGUAGGACUGAAAAGACAGUAUCUUGUUGCAAAAAGAAUUUGGUUUGGAAAGGCUUAAUGUCCCACUGCCUGCCAGGAUGCGUAAAUCUCAUAACUAGACAGCUGGAUAGGUAAAAACAUUAAACCCAUUUAGAGGGCAAUCUUUUUACAAAAUUGUUUCAUUAAUAAGAGUGACAAUUUAUAUGAUUGAGAUGUUUAGAUGCAGUAUAGACAGUGCAUUUUAUCCAGGUUCAUGAGGAUGAUUUCAGAUUAGUAAUAUUUCCUUUGAUUCUUUUUUUAAUAGCAUUCAUUUUUGAAAGGGAAGCUCUUACUGAAUGAUUAUUUGACUUUUCAGCAGCACUAAAUGCAGAGGGUGUAUUUCAGCCUCAGUGCAGCAAAUGCAUGUGAUAAAAGGUGAACAAGUAUGUGUUUUUCUUCACAGAUCUCCUUAAAAAAAAAGAAGUGAUUUUUCACAUAAGGACAAACCUAAGUGUUUCCAGUAGCCUUCUGCCCACACCUACCGUCCCCAUUACAGCCUGUUUCAUUGUGUGAAAUGCCUCUGGUUUCAAGAAAGUGUUUUACCUAAAGCAAGAAUACUACUUAAAUAUGUUCUAUUGUAUAUUCAUAGCUCCAUUAGUCCUCCUGCAAUUUAGCACAUCAAAGCAAAGGCUUCAUCACUUGCAUGUGGAUUAUGCUAACAUGAGUGACAUUUGUAAUCUUAUAGGUCUGCAACUUAAGAAAUGCUUUUAAAGUAAGCUAUUAAAUAGGUAGCUGUGCUUUACAAAUGAGUCAUAUAAUAGUUUAUUUAAAGCUGUUAAUGAACUUCAACCUCUACAUCACUAAAUGCUAUACUACAUUUCUUACUAUAAGUUAUUAGCUAUCUUCUUAGCACUUCUAGGUUAUAUUGGACAACCAAAAAUCUGUACAUGUUAGAUUUAAAUACUGUACCUUGAGUGCUUAUACUGAAAGAAUAUAAAAAGAUGUCUACAGUCUCACUAAUACUUGAAUUCUAUAUUCAUAUGACUUCAAGUGUCUUUUCAAAGAUACUGAAGCAGCACAAUUUACAGACUCUGAAGACUUUAAUGCCAGAUCAAAAAGCUUAGAAACUUAUUUAAAAUACCCACAAGUGCAUUUAAUUAAAGUCAUACAUAGUGUCAGUCAUGUUGUGCUUUAUAUGUUAUGCAACUAGUCUUUUGUCUUUACUGUCUGAUACUGUACAUUGCUGUUUCCUCUGAAACUGGGCUUCCUCAAGCACUGACGUGUUAAAAGUAAAAAUUCAGCAGCCCUCCAACGUACUAGAUAUCAUGAAGUAGAACCUGAAACAAAAAUAUCUGCUGUUGGUUGUUUAUACAGAUAAAUCUAUAAAUCAGCUUUUUGUGUUAUUGGCAUCACAACAAAAAUAAGUCAAGCUCACUCUAUAACCAAGCAGCUGAGCACUGAACACCUUCUAAAAAACAGAAUUAAACAAAAUAAUGGUGUGUUAUGAAUGCAUUAGUUUCCUAUAAAAGUAGAGUAUUUCUUAAUAUUGAUUUGCUUUGAAUUGCAGCAAAGGCAGAUUCGUUGCUUGCAGGUUCCUGACUGAAGGCAUACAGUGGACAGCCACAGAUCCAUGUUAGUAUUCUUGCUAAAAACAUGAAAAAGUCAGAUUUUGUUUUUAUCAAAGUAUUCUGCACAAAUCUACAACUAAACAGCUGAUGGUAAAAACACGCAAAAUGAAGUUGUUCCCUUUGUAAGCUUAGAGGUGGCUCUGCUGCUUUGUGGGGAGGUGGUUUUUGUUUGUUUGCUUUCAGAAAACAGAUCAUAUUUUGAGAUCAGCUAGUUCUCAGAAACAGCCCAGGAAACAGGUUUUUCUUUCCUUAAGAUUAUCAGUGUUGAAAAGUUAAAGUCUCACCACAGCAAACACAACUUUAUGUUGUGCAGAUCAGAAUAGCUAUUGUAUUCCUUUUCAUGAAUACUCAAUUCUAGUGCCCAGCAUGAGGUACAGACCUUUCAUUGGCUUUUAUUUUUUUUGACCUCUUAUGGUAUAUUCAUACCCUCUUAUGCUUGCAUGCUCAGAGACACAGGCACAUCCUCAAAACAGAAGGAACUGGAAAGAAAGAAACCACAGUACCUCUGUUGUGCUGUAAUUCACUGCACUGGGAAUUAUAAUGUACUUGUUGUUACCAGAAUUAAGAAUCUCCAUUAAAAAAAAAAAAAAUUGAAGUAGUACUCAUUAUCCUUGUCACAGGUAACAUAGUCAAGUAGUUUACCAGAGCCUUUCUUGGCAUAAGACAAAAGAAAAAAUCCAAACCAAAAACCUACUUUUAAAGGUAAUUGACAGUUAAGGUGAGAACUACGUAAGAUUAAGUUGCAGAAUGCUUUGAAUGUAAUUAAAAAAAAAAAGAGCAAAGCUUCUAAAACCCAUAUUCGGUUUUGUUUUACUUUUUAUUAUUUAAAUACACCAUACUAGAGCAAAUGUCUCUGAAAAUAUCACAAAUAAAAGAUUUUUCUUCAUUCAGCAAAUUAGAAGUAGGUGAAAAUUUCUACACAGUAGCUGCUAUGAGCCUGACUUUUUUUUUUUUCUUUUUUUUUUCCUUUUUUCUUUUGCCAUGGGAAGUAGCAACAUUAGGACAAAAACACUUACAUGCAUACAUACAUUGUAUUUUACAGAGAUACAAUAAAAGUGUUUGUGAUAGAAUAUCACAAAAGCCACAUCUUUAUCUCAUGUUCAGUUUGAUUGAAACACAUUUCCUUACAACACUUAAAUAUACAAAGAGCAAAUAGAAUGUUGUUAAGGUAAAACACAGGGUACAAACUGGCCAGUGCCCUGCUAAUUGUUAAUGAGGGUAGAAAGCAGAUUUCAAUGCUUCUUUUAAUUAGCUUCAUUAGUCAUCUUCCCCACCCGCCCCCCCCAAGAUGUCCUCCGGUGGAUCUUUUUUCAUUUUCUCUACAGUCUCCCAUUAGCCCAGGUUCAUGGAGUCCUUAAUGUUCAUAUUCAGUCAUUUUAAUACACCAAUAAAUGUGGGAAGGGCAAUCAAGAAUAAAGAAGGUGCAAUGGUAUGGAGCUGGCAUUGAUGCUAGCUACAAAGGUGACUUGUCUACUUGGAGACAUGGGAUCCAUCUGUGAUGAACAAAAUUUGAGAUGAAGGCACGCAUUCUGCAUUACUCUGACCUUUUAGCAGACCUGCAAGAAAUAAAAAUGGGUAUCUUAGCUAAAUUUGAGAUAGGAAACUAUAACAUGACUGCUUUUGUUUUUCCCUAUUCACUAAUCUCUUUUUUAUUAGACUACUUUCUAACUGUGACUUGAUUAAGGCUUUCUAUACUGUCCAUUCAUACCGCUAACGUUUCAACUUUAAACAGCAAAAAGAAAACAUUUUUUACAGUUUCACUACUAAAGAAAGCAGACAUGAAAAAAAGACUACAACAAGAAAUGUGUACUUUCUGGUAACAAAUCAUACAGUGAAUAAGGUGGCUUUUCUGGGCCCUGUUUGAAAGGGGAGAACCAUUAUGCCAUGCCUUUGAAGAAGCAAGUAAUAUAAUCUUGUAAUUGGAAGAAAUAGUGUGUAAAGCAAAUAUGAAGUACAGCCAAUAUCCUCCCAAGGCAACUUUGGUUAAUAUGCUGCAUUGCACAAGAGCUAAAUAUAGAUAUUUCAGGAUUCCCCCCUCCCAUUUAAAUUCCUCAUCUGGUAUGUUAGUUAAUGUUACAUAAACAUUUUAAUAUAUGAAGUCAAACAUGUGCUUUCAUACUGGUGUUAAUGAAUUGUGAUAAUUAAAAGUGUCUAACUCAAUAAAAAUCUAAACUUUCAUGGAUAAAAUAGGAAUGAUCAUCCAUAGUCCUCAAAUACAAUCUGUUUGCAAUUACCAAAAUGAAAUAAUAUAUAUUAGAUUUUUAUGGCUUUUAAAUGACAUUUUGCGCUUCCCAGGAAGUUCUUUUCUCACCCUUUCUCUAAGUUACUAAAAGCCUGAGGUCUAUUAGUAACUGCAACCCCCCACUUUCAAGCUAAUUAAAGUAGUAGAAGCUUGGAGGUUUAAUUCCCCAGAGCUGAAGCUCAGUGUGAGAAAGGUAAUUUGUCUGUCCAGAACAAAGAUUAGGGAGCAGCCAGCAAGCAUAUUUAAUAAAUGAGCAUCAAAUAUCUUCUACUAUGGACACAGACAACACCAAUUAUGUAACUACAAGGGAAUUGCUGAGUGAUAUGUAAACUAGAAGAUUUUUAAGAUCUUCUUUAAGAGAUGUAAUGUAACUCAUACUUUAUUUAAAAGUAUAGAAGCUGAAGACAAACAUUUGUUACGAACACUGCCAACCAGUGGAAAAUGUACACUUUCAGUAGGUGGUAAUAGUGUUGCAAACAAGAAAUACCACAGGAAUACUACUAGUACAAAAAAAGCAGAGAGCAUUCCUGACAAUACAGCCCCUUCAAAUGAAAUGGCACACAGGACAUCACAAACUAAGUUUGCACUCAGCAGGCAAGCAGUACUGAGUUUAGAGAAAACAGGGGUUUUUUUAAACUAUAGGGCAAGUAAUGGGAAGUUAUAAUUUACAUGUGUAAAUUGCCUCAGGGAAGCAAAAGGCAGGAAUGGCAAACAUCCCUGCAUUUGUCUCCUUAAAAAAAACAAACCCAAGUUUUUAAACCAUGUUAUACUAUGCAACCUUUCCUGCCUGCACUGGUCACCUGUAAACUGCAGUGAGACAAGAGUAAGUUCAUCACUGUCACCUUCAUAUGCAGAACAAAAAUGUGUUUUAAUGCUGGGAGUGUCUCAAUCUCUUUGGUUAAAUUAAAAAAAAAAAAACCAAACAAAAAAAA